rnacentral:rRNA from 1 species
CAGCAGCCGCGGGAAUACGGAGGGUGCAAGCGUUAAUCGGAAUUACUGGGCGUAAAGCGCACGCAGGCGGUCUGUCAAGUCGGAUGUGAAAUCCCCGGGCUCAACCUGGGAACUGCAUUCGAAACUGGCAGGCUAGAGUCUUGUAGAGGGGGGUAGAAUUCCAGGUGUAGCGGUGAAAUGCGUAGAGAUCUGGAGGAAUACCGGUGGCGAAGGCGGCCCCCUGGUCAAAGACUGACGCUCAGGUGCGAAAGCGUGGGGAGCAAACAGGAUUAGAUACCCGUGUAGUCCCUGUCUCUUAUAC